rnacentral:rRNA from 1 species
UUCAACGGCCGCGGUAUCCUAACCGUGCAAAGGUAGCAUAAUAACUUGCCUAUUAAUUAUAGGAUAGAAUGAAAGGGUAAACGAAAUAGGAGCUGUCUCUAUUAGCCCAAUGAAAAUUAUUUUUUAACUGAAGAAAGUUAAAUUCAACUGAAGGACAAGAAGACCCUAUAGAGCUUAAUUUAACUUACUAAAUAAGUAAAAAUUAAAUUCGGUUGGGGCGACCGAUGCUCUACAAAUCAUCACCCACAAAAAGAAAUAUACAUCUCAAAAAAGACCCUGACCCAGAUCAAAAAAACAAGCUACCUUAGGGAUAACAGGCUAAUCUCAUUAAUGAGUCCCCAUCUAUAAUGUUGGUUGGCACCUCGAUGUUGGCUUAGGGAAUCAAAAGGGCGCAGAAGCUUUUUAAGACGGUUUGUUCAACCAUUAAACCCCUA